rfam:Loxodonta africana unplaced genomic scaffold scaffold_25, whole genome shotgun sequence.
UGCCAUUGCUGACUUCCCAUUUGUGUUGUUGUGUCUGGGCCACAGAAGGCCUGUGGUGGAACCCAGAUAGAGCUGACGAA